rnacentral:rRNA from 1 species
UGGAGCUGAAAUCAGUCGAAGAUACCAGCUGGCUGCAACUGUUUAUUAAAAACACAGCACUGUGCAAACACGAAAGUGGACGUAUACGGUGUGACGCCUGCCCGGUGCCGGAAGGUUAAUUGAUGGGGUUAUCCUCGCGGAGAAGCUCUUGAUCGAAGCCCCGGUAAACGGCGGCCGUAACUAUAACGGUCCUAAGGUAGCGAAAUUCCUUGUCGGGUAAGUUCCGACCUGCACGAAUGGCGUAAUGAUGGCCAGGCUGUCUCCACCCGAGACUCAGUGAAAUUGAACUCGCUGUGAAGAUGCAGUGUACCCGCGGCAAGACGGAAAGACCCCGUGAACCUUUACUAUAGCUUGACACUGAACACUGGUCCUUGAUGUGUAGGAUAGGUGGGAGGCUUUGAAGUGUGGACGCCAGUCUGCAUGGAGCCAUCCUUGAAAUACCACCCUUUAAUGGCUGGUGUUCUAACGUGGGCCCCUGAUCGGGGUUGCGGACAGUGUCUGGUGGGUAGUUUGACUGGGGCGGUCUCCUCCUAAAGAGUAACGGAGGAGCACGAAGGUCAGCUAAUCCUGGUCGGACAUCAGGAGGUUAGUGCAAUGGCAUAAGCUGGCUUGACUGCGAGCGUGACGGCGCGAGCAGGUGCGAAAGCAGGUCAUAGUGAUCCGGUGGUUCUGAAUGGAAGGGCCAUCGCUCAACGGAUAAAAGGUACUCCGGGGAUAACAGGCUGAUACCGCCCAAGAGUUCAUAUCGACGGCGGUGUUUGGCACCUCGAUGUCGGCUCAUCACAUCCUGGGGCUGAAGUAGGUCCCAAGGGUAUGGCUGUUCGCCAUUUAAAGUGGUACGCGAGCUGGGUUUAGAACGUCGUGAGACAGUUCGGUCCCUAUCUGCCGUGGGCGCUGGAGAAUUGAGGGGGGCUGCUCCUAGUACGAGAGGACCGGAGUGGACGCAUCACUGGUGUUCGGGUUGUCAUGCCAAUGGCAUUGCCCGGUAGCUAAAUGCGGAAGAGAUAAGUGCUGAAAGCAUCUAAGCACGAAACUUGCCCCGAGAUGAGUUCUCCCUGACUCCUUGAGAGUCCUGAAGGAACGUUGAAGACGACGACGUUGAUAGGCCGGGUGUGUAAGCGCAGCGAUGCGUUGAGCUAACCGGUACUAAUGAACCGUGAGGCUUAACCUU